CGAGCUGCGUGCUUACACAUGCAAGUCGAACGCUGAAGCCGACACCUUGCUGUUGGUGGAUGAGUGGCAAAGGGGUGAGUAACACGUGAGUAACCUGCCCCUGAUUUCAGGAUAAGCCUGGGAAACUGGGUCUAAUACCGGAUACCACCAAUCCUCGCGUGAGGGUUGGUGGAAAGUUUUUCUAACGGGGAUGGGCUCGCGGCCUAUCAGCUUGUUGGUGGGGUAAUGGCCUACCAAGGCGACGACGGGUAGCCGGCCUGAAAGGGCGACCGGCCACACUGGGACUGAGACACGGCCCAGACUCCUACGGGAGGCAGCAUUGGGGAAUAUUGCACAAUGGGGGAAACCCUGAUGCAGCGACGCAACGUGCGGGAUGACGGCCUUCGGGUUGUAAACCGCUUUCACAGGGAAGAAGCGAAAGUGACGGUACUGCCGAAGAAGUACCGGCUAACUACGUGCCAACUCCCGCGGUAAUACCUAGGGUACGAGCGUUGUCCGGAAUUAUUGGGCAUAAAGAGCUCGUAAGUGGUUGGUCACUUCUGCUGUGGAAACGCAGCGCUAUCCGUUGCCCGUGCAUGGGAUACGGGCUGACUAGAGUGCAUGAUGGGAGUCUGGAGUUCCUGGUGUAGCUCUGAGAUGCGCAGAUAUCUGGAUGAACAUCGGUGGGAAUAGCGGUAGUCUGGGCUGUUACUGACACUGAUGAGCGAAAGCAUGGGGAGCGAACAGGAUUACAUACCCUGGUAGACCCUGCCGUAAACGUUGCCCACUACGUGUGGGGGACAUUCCACGUGCUCCGCACAGUAUCUAACGCCUUAUGUGCCCCUCCUGGGGACGUACUGUCGAAUAGCUAAAACUCGAUAGAAUUGACAUGGAGCUCGACACGAGCGCCCGAGCAUGCUGAUGCAUUGCGAUGUAACUUCGAUGAACCGUCACAAAGCUUGACAUGCACUGAACUGUCUGAAUACUCGUCUCAUCAUCAUUAGAGUCUCGUGUACAAGCUGACGCACGGUGCGUCAGCUCGUGUCUGAUAUGGUCGGUUAAGUCUCGCAUCAAGUCGCCACACUCGCUCUAUCGCUGUCACCUACGUGAUCGAUCGGAUCUAGUAGGAAACUGCAGAUCAGUCCGUAGCAAGCUGGAGAUAGCUCGAAUCACGUGCACCUUUACUGGCUCGUCUGACAAUGCUACAUGUCGUCAUGUAGGUCGAACGUCAGUCUAGCAUGCAGUUCAGCUGUACUAAGCCUGAU
rnacentral:rRNA from 1 species